rnacentral:rRNA from 1 species
UACGGAGGGGGUUAGCGUUGUUCGGAAUGACUGGGCGUAAAGCGCGCGUAGGCGGAUCAGGAAGUUGGGGGUGAAACCCCGGGGCUCAACCCCGGAAUGGCCUUCAAAACUCCUGGUCUUGAGUUCGAGAGAGGUGAGUGGAAUUCCGAGUGUAGAGGUGAAAUUCGUAGAUAUUCGGAGGAACACCAGUGGCGAAGGCGGCUCACUGGUCCGGUACUGACGCUGAGGUGCGAAAGCGUGGGGAGCAAACAGG